AUAGAUCUAACAAUCCCUACAUUGUCAGAGUGUUUUUUGCUCCAUUAAAGUAUGUGGAGACGGUCGAUAGUCGGUGGGGGGCAUCCCACCUCAUACUUUCAGAUGUUCCACUUAACCCUUGGGUGAGCAGGCAAGCUAUUGGCUGUGCGUUCUAACUUCUAAGCAGGCGAAAAGAAGAUGGUCCAUUUGCAUAUUGGCAGCAGCCAAUUCACCUGAAAAGAGAGGUAAUAACAGUUGCUUCGAGAAAAAAACAAAUUGCAAAACCACGGUUUAAAUCGAACAAUUACCGUGGUUACCGAAAUUUUUAAGUGGAGACCCUCGAGGCAAAUGACAACUAUAAUCCCUCCUUCAAGAGUCCAGCAUCGAGGCAGAACAUAAAUAUGAAAUCCGAAAAGGUGGUGUCAUCUGGAAAGAACACAUGAAGACGUCAACAACAAAGAGGACUUAGAAUCGAGGCGUACAAUCCCGGCGUCGAGGCAUUCCCGCAUCAGUAUCUUCGAGUCUUCUUGGUG
rnacentral:sRNA from 1 species